rnacentral:sRNA from 1 species
AAACACACAGAUCGCCCCACAGAAUGGGGUUGCGCGCAGACAGAGAUGGAGAAGAGAGAGAGAGAGAGAGAUUGGGAGGAAGUGGACGCUCAUCCGUCAUCCAGGGGAUAGCUCAUAUCGACAAACCUUCCUUCCCGGUGUCGCUCAACAGUAGCAUCAACAAACAGUAUACUUUAACCUUAACAACAGAAUGCUUUACAUCAGACGCAUUAGGGGAUGCUCCUAGAUGCCACCCACACUCCAAAGUUCAGCCCUCCGCGAGAAAGCGUCUAGACGAAUCGCCAAUGCGCCCUUGCAUAAAUAUUUGCUCCAUUUGGCUUGGAUGGAACUUGGAAGUUAGGGCCCUCGUCUUCUUCGCCCGUUCCCAACCCCUCCGCCUGGCCCGCUCCCUGAUUCCAACAAAAUCGAUAUCCCAAGCCUACUCAAGCAUCACCACCAAAAUACUGUUGAAGAAACGAAGGAUCUUUUCGGGUAUUAUUUGUGUUUGACACCACCAAGCCUACACGAAAAUCAGCCGACAAAUCUCACUGACAUCCAACCUUAAAUUGAUAUCACAUGUCGUGUGUCUUGAGUUCCCACAUGCGGGCUCUGGGUUUGUAGAUACGGUACACCGGCCUUUAAAAACAGGCGAUCGGUAGACUCCAAUAUAUAUCUAACUGGAACUGGAUGCAUUAAUAUUUUGAAAUAUAUAUAUAUAUAUAUAUAUCAUAAGGCGAAAGAAUAUUUUCUCCUAACGCAGGACAAUUAAAUCCAUCUACCCCGACCAAAAACUGGGGAAUAUUUAGCCAAUGACGCGGGCUCUUAUUGUAGAACGGUUGAUAACAGAGCGCUACGGUGAGGAUCUCAAACAUCCUGCAGUUGCCCCUCAGCUGACUGGGGGUUACUGUACAAAAUUUUUGUAUGUAGGGUAAACGUAAGCUCUUUGACUCUUAUUUACUAACUGGUUGGAGGUUGGGUAAAAGUCAUCCAUAUAUUUUCGAGAUCAUGGUAUCCAGACAAAUAGCAACUGUCGGAUUGCCGAUCAUGAGAUCAGAUAUUGAAACCAGAAAUGUGUGCAUAGGCCAGUGGUAGUUACCUGUUUGUAGUUUAGAUCAACUAUGGCAACCCUAGUUUGCCAAAACUCACGAGGGAAUCGUUUGAUAGCUUUUGAUAUUUAUUCAAGUUCACAUCGGAGCAGAGAAAAGAAACAGGCAAAAGGAUAAAAGAUAAGAAAGAAAAUAUAUCACAAACGUUUUUCUUCUCUAGCCACCCACCCACAAUACUCCCUAAAUAGAGUCCUCUAUCCAGUCUUACCAGUAGGGAUAUUAAAGAAGACAGCAGCCUUCCCAUCCUUAUACGGCCGAUCCAGCCUGAAAUAGCCCUUCCGUUCGAACUGAAUAAUAUCCCCCUCCGCCAACCCAGCCACAUUGCAAUCCGCAAACGCUUCAGAGCGGAACUCUGUCUGCGGCGUCAAAAAGUCAUGGAUGUCCUCAUCCUUCUCGAUCUUAUCCUUGGUGAUGAGGUAGUCAAAGUCCACGAGCUCGACAGGGACGAGGUCCUGGCCCUCCUGCGCCAGCCAUGUGACCUUCUUAUCCGUCUUCUUAACGUCGCCGGCUAGAUGCAACUCCAGCUCGAGGCCAUUGAUCUUGCCCGUGGCCGGAUCGCUAUUGAUCUUGCGCACGAUUGAAUUGCCCCAGUUCAUCAGGGUGAUCUCCUCGUCUGGUUGGAAGGUGGCGGCGUCCACCUGGUCGAGGAGGAUUUUGCUGCUGUAGAUUACUUUCUUAGAGCCCAGCUCUGGAUUCUUGCCGUGUUUUGGUUUCUCAGCGCUUUGCACACCAUCAAUCCCGCCGACAGUGGCCAGGACCACGUCCUGCUUGUCAACAGCGGUAUGACGCGGGGCCACAGGAUCGAUAUACUUGCGGUUAGUCGCCCAGAAAAGCGUCCAGUCAAGAUUUACGAUGUUUCGGCUGGGGCCUUGUUUGAGGAUAAAUUCACGCAGGGCAGGUACAGUCAUACCGCGUCGUCUGAUACCCCGGAUCGUAGGCAUGCGUGGAUCGUCCCACCCCCAUACGACGCCCUCGUCGACUAACUUCGUGAGCUUUCUCUUCGACAACACCGCACGAAUGAAGUUUACACGCGAGAAGUCCCAGAUAUGGACCUUGCGAAUGCCAAGAGCCUCCUGCAUCCAGGCAUAUUGUGCGUUCCGAUCACCGUACUCAGUGGUUCGCAAUGCGUGGGUGACACCCUCCAAGGAGUCCAGGAUAGGAACACAAAAAUCGUAGGUCGGAUAGAUUUUCCAUGUGCUACCAGUCCGAUGGUGUGGCUCCAGGUUGCAGCGGUAGAUGACCGGAUCUCUAAGUGCUUUGUUCAAGUCGUCAACCGAGAUCUUUGCACGGAUACACCAGCGCUGGCCUUCAACUGAGCCGGUUUUCAUUUCAGCAAACCGUGCCAGGUUGUCCUCCACGCUUUCGUUACGGCGCUUGCUCUCAACACCUCUGAACCGCUCAUCCUGCAUCACUUCCUUCUCAGUGUCGUCGGCAUAGGCUUUACCAUCACUGAUAAUUUUGACACAGUAUUCGUACAUUUCCUGGAAAUAAUCGCUGGAGAAAGAGGUUUUGUCCGGAUAAAUACCCAACAGGGAUAAAUCAUGCUUGAUCGCAUCCUCGAACUCCUGAUUCUCCUUGGAGGGAUUGGUAUCAUCGAAUCGACAAAUCAUGGUGCCUUUGUAUUGUUCAUGGGCGAAGUAAUCGUUCAACAGCGCUGCUUUCGCAUGUCCGAUAUGCAGAUACCCCGAUGGCUCUGGUGGGAACCGGGUCACUACACCGUUUUCCACAUUCUGGAGACCGAUGUUGUAGCUUGCACCAGCGGCACUUGCCGCGGCCUUUCUCUUCUGAGAACUAGCACUCAACUCAGCCACGGCAAUGUUCACCCAGGGAUAGGCUGCUUCGAUGAAUGCGAACCAGCGGCUGGUGGUUGUCGCAGAUUUUCUAAUGCUCGAUAUGGCGAUUCUAUUUCCACGAAGGGUUCCCCAGACAGCAAUAUCUGCCAAGGUAAGAGAAUAGCCAACGAUGUGCGAUCGCAGGGUAAGGUGGGAAUCGAGCUCCUUCAUUGGCUGGUCCAAUGCUUUGAAGUCCAAUGGCCUCAAAGCAGCUGAUCUCUUCACCCAUUCAUCGACCUGCUCCUUGUCCCCAGCUUGCAGAGGUGCAUAUAUAUUCUCCAGAUGUUUUAAGAUAUCGUCAUCGUAAAUUGUCUUCCCAUCGUCCGUCUUAAGCUCCAGCUUUGCAUCUUGGGAUCCAAUUGACUCCACAUCCUCAAACACGACGGCGAUGUCAGUGCCCGGGAGGGUCUGCUUGACAUGGUUGACAGCAAGAAGGGUUGGUAGGAGGAAGGCAUUGUUGGCCUUUGUUGCAACGGCGAGUUGAGACAUCUCUUUCCUGGUAAAUGUAUUCCUCGUGUCUGAAAAAUAAAAGAAUGUCCACCAGGAAUAUAUAUGUUAAUGCCACAAAUAUGGCU